CCUACGGGAGGCUGCAGUGGGGAAUAUUGCACAAUGGGCGCAAGCCUGGUGCAGCCAUGCCGCGUGUGUGAAGAAGGCCUUCGGGUUGUAAAGCACUUUCAGCGGGGAGGAAGGCGGUGAGGUUAAUAACCUCAUCGAUUGACGUUACCCGCAGAAGAAGCACCGGCUAACUCCGUGCCAGCAGCCGCGGUAAUACGGAGGGUGCAAGCGUUAAUCGGAAUUACUGGGCGUAAAGCGCACGCAGGCGGUCUGUCAAGUCGGUUGUGAAAUCCCCGGGCUCAACCUGGGAACUGCAUUCGAAACUGGCAGGCUAGAGUCUUGUAGAGGGGGGUAGAAUUCCAGGUGUAGCGGUGAAAUGCGUAGAGAUCUGGAGGAAUACCGGUGGCGAAGGCGGCCCCCUGGACAAAGACUGACGCUCAGGUGCGAAAGCGUGGGGAGCAAACAGGAUUAGAUACCCUAGUAGUC
rnacentral:rRNA from 1 species